rnacentral:rRNA from 1 species
AGUGAACGCUGGCGGUAGGCCUAACACAUGCAAGUCGAACGGCAGCACAGUAAGAGCUUGCUCUUACGGGUGGCGAGUGGCGGACGGGUGAGGAAUACAUCGGAAUCUACUUUUUCGUGGGGGAUAACGUAGGGAAACUUACGCUAAUACCGCAUACGACCUACGGGUGAAAGCAGGGGAUCUUCGGACCUUGCGCGAUUGAAUGAGCCGAUGUCGGAUUAGCUAGUUGGCGGGGUAAAGGCCCACCAAGGCGACGAUCCGUAGCUGGUCUGAGAGGAUGGACCGGCACACCUGAACUUGAGCACGGGCCCGGCUCCUAAGGGAGGGCACAGUGGGGAAUAAUUGGCCAAUGGCGGAAACCUGAUCCAGGCAAACCGGGUUGGGUAAAGAGGCCUUCGGGUUGUAAAGCCCUUUUGUUGGGAAAGAAAAGCAGCAGGUUAAUACCCCGCUGUUCUGACGGUACCCAAAGAAUAAGCACCGGCUAACUUCGUG